CAAGAAUUUUAGAAGAUACCAGAAGAUUUUAGAAGAUACCAGCUUUCCUUUUAUGUGAUAUUUAGAACACAUAAUUUUCCUAUACUUCAUAACACUAACUCCUGGCGUUGGAUAGUUUUGAGGUUCAUUGGCAUUAGUUAUUCCAUGGGUUAUAUUUUUGUUAGGAAAGCACUUGACCUGAAAAACAAAGAACUGCUCCAGGCGACAGAAAAGUGUCCACUGAUUGCACAAAGGAGUAAUCAUAGAAUCAUAGAAUAGUUAGGGCUGGAAAGGACCUUAGGAUCAUCUAGUUACAACCCCCCUGACAUGGGCAGGGACACCAUGCACUAAAACAUGUCACACAAGGUUCCGUCCAGCCUGGCCUUGAACACUACCAGGGAUGGAGCAUUCACAUCUUCCCUGGGCAAUCAGCAACUUUUCUCAUAUAAAUAGGAUCUCAUACUUGAUAUCCAUCCCAAACGUAUCAAUUCUUCCAAAAGGAUUUGUGCUUAGCACUGUGUGUUUUGAUCCCGCACCAAAUUAUCUAGGGCUGAGCUAUGCCAAUCCUAAUGGGGCCACUGAGAUAGCAUCAAAACACUGCUGAACUUACACUGACAGGACUUGAGCGAGCGCUAAAGCUCUCCUAGACGCCAUGGUGCUAAUCAUAUAUAUGUGCAUCUCUGGGUGAGAUGUAUUCAGUGCCCUAUCAGCCACAACUCUAUUACAGACAACUUGGUGUUUGUGACUUGGGUGGAAAUAAGCAGUGCUACAGGGGGAGAAGAUCUACCACACUCAUUGGCCUUAUGCUCACAUUUAGCAAUCAAUUUUCCCUCUGCAAAAAUGAAAUAACACACCAUGAAACAACACAAUAUCCAGGGUAUUUCGCACUGCACAGCAUCUUAAACAGAGGAAGUUUCAUUCAGUCCUUGGUCUAGGACUAGAAGCUAGAUACAAAUUCCAGUCAUGCUGAAACACAGAGAGAUCCUUAAACCUCAGAAUUAAAAAAAGGGUUCAAGGAAGUGCUGUCAGAUAUUUUCUGUUCUGCAUGCUAUGUAGCUCAGCAGCUCGCCACAAUUAACACAAGAGAAACGGCAAUAGCAAGUUACUCUUCUGGUGUUCUUUGUUCAGCAAAUGGUUUGCAAACUUAUUUUGUCCAUCAACAUAACUCUGUCCCUUCUCUUUCCAAGUAGGAAUUUGUCCUGCUAUCCUAAACUUUACUCAGGAAAUCUGUUCUAAGACUUCUGCACUUAAAAUAAAAAUUCCAUCACAUGUUCUUGAUUUUAGAA